rnacentral:rRNA from 1 species
CGGAACGGGUGAGUAAUGCGUGACCAACCUGCCCCAUGCUCCAGAAUAGCUCUUGGAAACGGGUGGUAAUGCUGGAUGCUCCAACUUGACGCAUGUCUUGUUGGGAAAGUGUUUAGUGGCAUGGGAUGGGGUCGCGUCCUAUCAGCUUGUAGGCGGGGUAAUGGCCCACCUAGGCUUCGACGGGUAGCCGGCCUGAGAGGGCGGACGGCCACAUUGGGACUGAGGCACGGCCCAAACUCCUACGGGAGGCAGCAGCC